UACGUAGGGGGCUAGCGUUGUCCGGAACCAUUGGGCGUAAAGCGCGUGUAGGCGGUCCGGUAAGUCCGCUGUGAAAGUCGGGGGCUCAACCCUCGGAUGCCGGUGGAUACUGUCUGGCUUGAGUACGGAAGAGGCGAGUGGAAUUCCUGGUGUAGCGGUGAAAUGCGCAGAUAUCAGGAGGAACACCAAUUGCGAAGGCAGCUCGCUGGGACGUUACUGACGCUGAGACGCGAAAGCGUGGGGAGCAAACAGG
rnacentral:rRNA from 1 species